AAUGAACGCUGGCGGCAUGCCUAACACAUGCAAGUCGAACGAGAACUCCGGGUCUAGUGGCGCACGGGUGCGUCACGCGUGGGAACCUUCCCUUAGGUUCGGCAUAACUCCCCGAAAGGGGUGCUAAUACCGGAUAAUGUCUUCGGACCAAAGAUUUAUCGCCUUUGGAUGGGCCCGCGUUGGAUUAGCUAGUUGGUAGGGUAAAAGCCUACCAAGGCGACGAUCCAUAGCUGGUCUGAGAGGAUGAUCAGCCACACUGGGACUGAGACACGGCCCAGACUCCUACGGGAGGCAGCAGUGGGGAAUAGUGGACAGUGGGCGAAAGCCUGAUCCAGCAAUGCCGCGUGAGUGAUGAAGGCCGUAGGGUUGUAAAGCUCUUUUACCCGGGAUGGUAAUGACAGUACCGGGAGAAUAAGCUCCGGCUAACUCCGUG
rnacentral:rRNA from 1 species